ensembl:lncRNA
AUGCACGUUUCUAGACACUCCUCUGUUUUCAGCACUCUCCAUACAGCUAAUCUGUGUCAGGAACAUCUGGGUACCAUUCAGGGGAGAAAUACAAGCAGCAUAACAUUUUGCAGAAAUUUUGGGAAUCAUGCUCUAGAGACUGAUCACCUGGCACUUUCACUUAGCUGUAUUUGUUUAAGAAAUGACCAAGAAAGGCUUGCGUUAUCCUUACAAUGUGCUAUAGGAAGCAACCCCUACCAAUAUAAGAAUCCAAUUCCAUGCAAGGAAACAAAAACCUCCAGUUACACGUCUUCCAGAUCCAGGCAGUCAUGGAAGGAUGGAAAAGCCCUCUGGGGACCUCUAGCCCACCCUUCUGAUCCAAGGAGGGCUAAAUUCAAAGUAAAAUCAGAUUGCUCAUGGCCUUGUGCAGUGAAGUUUUUAAAACUUCCUGGGGCUGGGUUUUUUGACAAAGACCUUGUACUACAUCCCUCCUUAGUCAUGCCAAACAAGUUCCCUCAGUACCCCUCAGCAUUUUAGCGACAAUCCACAGGACUCUGCAGAGUUUGCUGACAUCUUCAUUAUACUGGAGUGCCCUUCAACUGUCCACAGUUCUCUAGAUGCAACCUCAAGAGUGCUGAGAAGAGGAUAAUAAGCCACAUCCCCACCCUGCCAGCAGCAUCCUUGCUAAUACAGCCCCAAAUUGGGUGUGGAUGUUCAGUGAGUUGGUGUACAAGAGAGAAAAUUACUGAUGGCUCAAAAAAAAGCUAAGAAUGAAUCUACAGACCACAAAUAAUGUCUAAGUUCAGGCUGGAAACUAGAAGUAGUACAAGGCACAGUGAAAGCAGAAGUCUGGAGAAAACUUUCAGUUUCCUGUUGAGAAUGAAGAGUGAAGAGCUAAAGAAUAAGGAUGGAAAAUCCAUACGAUACCUGCCUGGAAGUGUGUGGCACUUUGGAAAAGAUGUCCUUGUCUUGGUUGCCAUGGAUGAGUGGGAGUUGACAGCAAUUACCAACAGGUACCCCAAUGUCUUAAGACGAAGUGACAUACCUGGUUUGGGCCAGGUUCUCACCUUCCAAACUAGGAGCAGAAGGCCAGAAUAGACUGAACCUGUGGGCUCAGAAUUUGGCUGUCUCAAAUUCAGGAGAUGUGGGGUCUUAGAAAUUUUCUCUAAGCCCAUGAGCUGGGAGUCCAACACAAGAAAAAUGAAAAGGAUAUUACAUGGGUGACUGGGGCAGUUUUGGACAGUUUCCCAGUUGCAUAUUUGAAAAUGAGAGGUGGGGGGAGAUAGCAGGAGAGUGAAAGAAUCAAAGGAGUAUUUUCAAAGCUAUAUUAAAAAAAAAAAAAGCAUUUAAUUCAUCUGUGUGCAUUUCUCUUGGAGUGUUCCUUCCACUGCUUUGAUAAGCAAGACACUAAAGAAAUGUCAUGGAAGAAAGGAAGAAAUUUCCUUCCCUCCCCCAGUAACUUUCCCUUUUCUAUUUUCCCAAAAAUGAAAAGAUUAAAAAAAAAAAAAAGGAUUAGAAAGAAAGAAAAGAAAGUAAAAAAAGCCAAAACUAUUUCUGUGAUUUAACAAGGCCAAGGCCAUUGUGGAAUAUAUUAAAGAAACUGCAGAAACCAGGGGCUACCUUUGAUGUAGAGCCUUUGAAAAACCAAAGCUGUGAGAAACAGCCCUGACCCAUACGUGUCCCGACGAAGGGAAGAAUAUGACUUGUCACACCGAAGACAGGUUUAGGUCUCUGUCUGUCAAAAUCAUGUGAAGGUGCCCUGUUCAAACAUGGUUUUGCUGACACUUGGUGUUGAAUUGGCUGUGUGCAAGGCCUGAUUUAAUCCAACCAGAGUCCUGGGGCAAACAGAAUGUCAGGGCUGAGAAGUGAGAAAGAAAGGCUGGGGGAGGAUUCUGCUUGGUGACCCCAAGGUGUGAGAGGAGUGGAGAGAUGGACGAGCCACCUCUCCUCUGGUCAGGAAGCAGGAUGUGUUUAUUGGUGCAUGUAAGAGGCAAAGAACUCCAAAAGAGCAAGUUGAACAUGUAUGGGAACAAAGAUGCUUAUUCUUUUCAGCAACAAAGUGCUGGAAGUUCAUCUUUUGUCUCCCAGAAGGUACCCAGAGAGCACAUCCCCUGACCCAGCACUCACCAGAGCACUGCCACAUGAAGUGGUCCAUGCCCAUGGGCAUGCUGAUGACAGGAGGUGGCUCAGAAACUCCAGGCAAGACGUCACGAUCAACCAAAUACAGUGUGCCCCUCAGAUACUUGCGAUGCCAGGUCAGACAAAAAGAUUAAGUCGUUUGUAGCCUGGUGGAACACACUCAUAGUACUGAGCAUUGUGCACAUCACAUGCUAGUGGGUUCUCCAGCAAUUGUAAUGGCGAGAGUAGAGACAAAAGCUUGGUGUGACCUAGGUGUGAGGCCAAGGUAAACAUCAACUGAGACAAAAAUGCAGUGUUUCUAUCAGAUCUGUCUCCCAGGGCUCCAGAGUUUUCAUCUUAAAGCUGAGGAGACCUGUCCUUACAGAAAAAGAUUUCCGCAUGGAAAUUUGAUGAUAUAUCUAUCCAUCUAUAUUUAGUUAAAAUAGAUGUUUGACGGAAAUACCACAUUUCUUUGGAAAAUUCCAGUGCUUAAUCAAAACACCAGAAUAGUUUUUUUUGACUGAAGCAUUUCAUUUUUACAAAUAAAGCCACAAACAACUAAUGCA